rnacentral:rRNA from 1 species
UACGUAGGGGGCAAGCGUUGUCCGGAAUCAUUGGGCGUAAAGAGCGUGUAGGCGGCCCGAUAAGUCCGCUGUGAAAGUCCAGGGCUCAACCCUGGGAUGCCGGUGGAUACUGUCGGGCUCGAGUCCGGAAGAGGAGUGUGGAAUUCCGUGGUGUAGCGGUGAAAUGCGCAGAUAUCAGGAGGAACACCAAUGGCGAAGGCAGCACUCUGGGCCUGACCUGACGCUGAGGAGCGAAAGCGUGGGGAGCGAACAGG